rnacentral:rRNA from 1 species
GAUGAACGCUGGCGGCGUGCCUAAUACAUGCAAGUCGAGCGAACGGACGAGAAGCUUGCUUCUCUGAUGUUAGCGGCGGACGGGUGAGUAACACGUGGAUAACCUACCUAUAAGACUGGGAUAACUUCGGGAAACCGUAGCUAAUACCGGAUAAUAUUUUGAACCGCAUGGUUCAAAAGUGAAAGACGGUCUUGCUGUCACUUAUAGCUGGAUCCGCGCUGCAUUAGCUAGUUGGUAAGGUAACGGCUUACCAAGGCAACGAUGCAUAGCCGACCUGAGAGGGUGAUCGGCCACACUGGAACUGAGACACGGUCCAGACUCCUACGGGAGGCAGCAGUAGGGAAUCUUCCGCAAUGGGCGAAAGCCUGACGGAGCAACGCCGCGUGAGUGAUGAAGGUCUUCGGAUCGUAAAACUCUGUUACUAGGGAAGAACAUAUGUGUAAGUAACUGUGCACAUCUUGACGGUACCUAAUCAGAAAGCCACGGCUAACUACGU